CUGGCUGAGGCCAGGGCUAAGAACCCACCUGCCGGGAUGCACCAGGGCGGAGCCGCCUCAGUUGUUAGAUUACCUAUCAGUUCUUGAAAACAGUAACCUGUCUUACCCAAAAUCACCCCUCCCAUCUCAUUGUAGGUUCUCCCACCUCCCUUGGUAGUUUUCUUGCACCACCCUCAACAAUUAAUUUUAAUGUGCAUUCCUGCUUAACUAAUGAGGAAGCUGAAGAUGGAAGAGUUUGAGUUGACUUCUCCAGGGUCUUCAAGAUAGCAAGAGACAAAAAAAAAGAAGUCAGAAUUUGAAACCUGAUUUUUCUGGCUUUAACAGCAAAGUAUUUCCCAGGCUUCCCUUUGUAGGCCCCCGUGUUGGUGUCUGAACCAGUCUCAUGAAUGUCUAGCUCAGAGGAAAGAGGCCCCUCUGCCUUCAGAUUUAAAGAAGGGUCAAGAAAGACACAUGUGACUUAACUGUUUAUUCUACUCACAAAACACUCUCUUUUUUUUUGUCUCUUAGGCUUUCUAGUGCUCAGAAUUUGCUUUCAAAAAGGUUAUUCCCCUACCAGGUACAGUGGUUCAUGCCUAUAAUCCUAGCUACCCAGGCAGCUGAGAUGAGGAGAAUCACAGUUGGAAGCCAACCCAAUCAAAAAGUUCAGGAGGCUCCCCGCUCUCAACUAAUAAAAAGCUGGACAUAGUGUUAUAUACCUGUCAUCCUGUAAAUAGAAUUGUGGUCCAGAAAAACCCAGGUUAAAAAGAAAGAAAAGUAGUGUGUGUGUGGCUCAAAUG